AUGUCAUUCAUGAUUGUGUUGAUCGCUGAAUUGCGUACCCUGUGACAUAUGGCAAGAAAGAGUACUUUGAAGUAUUUGGAGGUUUUGUAUUUUGACUGAAGGUCCAACUGUUCAGUUAGAGGAUGCAUAAAUACACUAAUAUGGAUGACAGGGGAUGCUCUUAGUCUUUUUAUGGGCGAAGAGACAUGGGAGUACGUACGAUUACGGCAGAAGAAGAGAGUAAAUAGAUAUUCUAAGAGUCUGGCGUUAGUUUUUUUUUCUGCUUCGAAGCGUCGAGCACAUUGGAAGGGAACAUGCAUCCACAUCUAUAUAGGUAUAACAAAUCUAUUAGGCACACGGAAAACAAGAAGAUUGUAUCGACGAUUUUGAUAUCGGUUUUAAAUUGAGGGUUUCUAAGUAUAGAGUUGGUGAAUCAGAUGAAGAUGUUGCGCCGGAACUGAGAAAAUCGGACAUGUAAACCGUUUUGUACUCUUGAUUUUUGCUGUUAUCAAGGUUCAUGGUUUCUCCUGAGCUGCGAGACACCCUAUUUGCCGUUCUAUUCGUUCGGUACGGGAUGUCCUUACGCAGAUAUUGAACAGGGUUGUAGGUACUUCUCUGGCACCGAUAAGUUAAGUACCCAUUCAACAGUAUGGCACUGCAGGUGAUGAGGAAGAGGAUCCGCCAUUCCCGCUUGCAGAAUUUGCAGGCCAUACAAAUGAUUCUAGAGAUAUCCAUAAGGGUCAGCCACCAAGGCUGCAAACCAUUGCAUCAGGGAAUGCCUUCAUAAAAGGGGCGUAAAAAAAAACCAAGACCUUAAAAAAAAAUAAGCCCUCAGUAGGAGUUUGUUUCAUUGAAAAAAAAUUAUUUUCGACUUUUUCUAGGAGUCCAGGGAAACUCCGAGCCCAGAGACUAGAUAGAUUUUUAUUUGUUAGCUAAUGCCAGAUCCAUUAGUCUUCUACGCCAAAUCAUGCUGGAGGCGUAGCUAUUAAUAAGGAGACAGGCGGGAGUCUCCAAGACGUAAUAGACGUUUUUUUUCGCCCGAACUAAAAUAUACAAAUAUCUCUUGGUUGACUUGUCCAUCCUCCAAUAGGAUACGUUUUCCCAGGGGUGAGAAAAUUUGUGCUUCCCCUUGAUGAAGAAGUGAAUGCCGAGUUGGUUGACACCUAAACACAUAAUAUCGCUGUCACCGACGAAAUAUCCGGAUUUGUCGACGGUGUUAUCUUGAACAAAAAAGAAGACCGACCCAUAGUAGGGCAGGGCCUGCACCACUUUCAAAAACUGUCUGUAAAUGGCCUCAAGAGGCGUGCCUCUGUGUUUCGCAUGCUCGACCUGAACCGCUCUCACCUCCUUGAGUCCCUUCUUUUGCUUGAUCAACGCCCUCGCAGAGCCUGGCACUAGCUUGGGCAGGGAGUGACGGUACUCUGCCUCUAGCCCCUCUUUGGCGUCUCCGAACAGCACAUGCGCGAUCAGCCCGGAAAGGUAAUGCCUUUGGUCUCGAGACGUGUAGUAGCCGUUAAUCAAAAACACAAAAACCGCCUCAGAGUACAACAGGUAAAUCGCCUUUUCGCUGUGGAACUGCAGCUCCCUCUCAAUCUGCGAAAAUGGUGACCUCCUGAAGACCACGAAUGGGGGGCUCUCAAGGUUGUCAGAGUACUGUGGCACGUACUUCUCAUUCCAGUCUCUCAGUACAUCCUUUAUCUUGUCGUAAUUCCGCAAUAGUACCUCUUAAAAAGUGUCCGUCAGUUCACAAAAAUCUUGAGGUACUCGGCUGCUGCGGAGCCAAACGUACCUAGUCUUGACCCGAUGGCCCAAAUGAAAAAGCUGGGCCUGCAAUCAUCUUCCAGUGACAGCCUUUCGCAGAUGCGUUUCCACAGCUUCUCGCAGAGCGUUCGUUAGUCCCCUUCUCCACGACCGAGGCGGCGUGAGUUUAUUGACAAAAAAAAAACGUACGUCUUCCGCCGUAGUUUCGUCCGUGACAUUCACAUUAAUGAAUGCGCCAUCUAAAAAGUACACCUUCAGCAC